GAUGAACGCUGGCGGCGUGCCUAAUACAUGCAAGUCGAGCGAACAGACGAGGAGCUUGCUCCUCUGACGUUAGCGGCGGACGGGUGAGUAGCACGUGGAUAACCUACCUAUAAGACUGGGAUAACUUCGGGAAACCGGAGCUAAUACCGGAUAAUAUAUUGAACCGCAUGGUUCAAUAGUGAAAGACGGUUUUGCUGUCACUUAUAGAUGGAUCCGCGCCGCAUUAGCUAGUUGGUAAGGUAACGGCUUACCAAGGCAACGAUGCGUAGCCGACCUGGGAGGGUGAUCGGCCACACUGGAACUGAGACACGGUCCAGACUCCUACGGGAGGCAGCAGUAGGGAAUCUUCCGCAAUGGGCGAAAGCUUGACGGAGCAACGCCGCGUGAGUGAUGAAGGUCUUCGGAUCGUAAAACUCUGUUAUUAGGGAAGAACAAAUGUGUAAGUAACUAUGCACGUCUUGACGGUACCUAAUCAGAAAGCCACGGCUAACUACGUG
rnacentral:rRNA from 1 species